rnacentral:rRNA from 1 species
CCAAUAGCGUAUAUUAAAGUUGUUGCAGUUAAAAAGCUCGUAGUUGAAUUUCGGGGUUAGUACGCUGGUCGUGCCUUCGGUAUGUACUGGUGUUUCUGAUUCCUACCUUCUGAAGAACCGUCAUGUCAUUAAUUUGGUGUGGCGGGGAAUCAGGACUGUUACUUUGAAAAAAUUAGAGUGUUUAAAGCAGGCUCGCGCUUGAAUACAUUAGCAUGGAAUAAUGAAAUAGGACGUUCGAUCCUAUUUUGUUGGUUUCUAGGAUUGACGUAAUGAUUAAUAGGGAUAGUUGGGGGCAUUAGUAUUCAAUUGUCAGAGGUGAAAUUCUUGGAUUUAUCGAAGACUAACUACUGCGAAAGCAUUUGCCAAGGAUGUUUUCAUUAAUCAAGAACGAAAGUUAGGGGAUCGAAGACGAUCAGAUACCGUCGUAGUCUUAACCAUAAACUAUGCCGACUAGGGAUCGGAUGAUGUUAAUUUUUUAAUGACUCAUUCGGCGCCUUACG